rnacentral:rRNA from 1 species
UACAGAGGGGGCCAGCGUUAUUCGGAAUUAUUGGGCGUAAAGGGCGCGUAGGCGGCUUUGCGUGUCUUUCGUGAAAUCCCUCGGCUCAACUGAGGACGUGCGGAAGAAACUGCAGGGCUGGAGUCCGGGAGAGGAGGGUGGAAUUCCCAGUGUAGCGGUGAAAUGCGUAGAUAUCGUAAGGAAGACCAGUGGCGAAGGCGGGUCUCUGGACAGUUCCUGACGCUGAGGCACGAAGGUCAGGGGAGCAAACGGG